CCUANGGGAGGCUGCAGUAGGGAAUAUUGGUUAAUGUGCGAAAGCGCGAACCAGCAACGCCGCGUGUGCGAUGACGGCCUUCGGGUUGUAAAGCACUUUUGGUGGGGAUGAGGAAGGACAGUACCCACCGAAUAAGCCUCGGCUAACUACGUGCCAGCAGCCGCGGUAAAACGUAGGAGGCGAGCGUUAUCCGGAUUUACUGGGUGUAAAGCGCGUGCAGGUGGUUUGGUAAGUUGGAUGUGAAAGCUCCUGGCUUAACUGGGAGAGGUCGUUCAAUACUACCAGACUUGAGGAUGAGAGAGGAAGGUGGAAUUCCGGGUGUAGUGGUGAAAUGCGUAGAUAUCCGGAGGAACACCAGUGGCGAAAGCGGCCUUCUGGCUCAUCACUGACACUCAGACGCGAAAGCUAGGGGAGCGAACGGGAUUAGAUACCCUUNUANUC
rnacentral:rRNA from 1 species